rnacentral:rRNA from 1 species
UAGUGAGACUUUGGAGUAGACACUGUAAACGCUUGCGUUUUGCGGUCGUUCUGUCAAAGUUGAUACAAACUUGAUGAUUUGGAGGAAGUAAAAGUCGUAACAAGGUUUCCGUAGGUGAACCUGCGGAAGGAUCAUUA